AUCAAGUAAGGUAGUGUACAACAAUAAAUACAGCAAAAACACCUAACGGUUCUUGUUGCUACCAUCAGAUCAACUAGCACUUUCAGAUGAACCGAAUGAAAUAAAAGCAACCAGCAACAACAACAUGGUGGAUUACAAAAACGAGAAGAAAAAAAAUUAACAUGGAUCCUAUCAGUUGAUGAUGCUGAAGCAGAAGAAGAGCCAGUGCCAAUAGCACCAACUCCAGCAUGCCUACAAUCGUACCGAAAGGAAUGAACGAACAAUACUCCACGUUACUAGGUACAUAGUACAUACAUAUGUAUGUAUGUACAUAAAACACAAAGCUCUCAAGCAUGGUCUUGCGUUCACUGGUGCGUUUGCUGAAGUGCUGUAGCGGAUUAUUAAUAGAAAAUAUAGUUGAACCAUUCAUAGAACGGCAUGUUCCAAGAUAACAAACAUUGAAAUGCGUUGCCAGCCAUACGCUCACACUCACGUUUUCGAACGAACGUACGCAUGCACCCACACAGCAGCACAUUAAUUUGUGCGAAAGAGCGCAAAUGGCGCGUAAAUCGCAGAACGCGUAAGGAUUUUCCCGGUUGUUUGGCGCGCAUAGAAAGUGAAACUUUAAUACGAUUUAAGCUGCCGAGUAGAAGAGUACUGGAAGCGGAUAUUAUGUACACAGAUAUGUGUGACAUAGCAUAUGGGACAAAUUGGCAUGCACAUAACUUUAUGUAUGACAGCAGGAAUAUCUAAAUUAUCUCCUUCUUAUUCGAUACUACAAGCGUUUUUCGUUUGGGACCGAUACUAAAGAAUUAUUCGCCAUUUACAUCUCUCGUUUGCGGAGUAUCACAACUACCGAUAUGUCCUUUUUCACAGGGCUCUUCUAUUGACGAUGUCAAUGUCACCUGCAUAUGCCAGCAGCUUCGUGUUUCUAGAGGAGAGAAGUGCAGGCGACCUGAACCCGGCGAUAGCUAAGGGAUAAUUCCGUCGUUCCGGCGCCCCCACAAAGAUAAAAAAAAAUGCUUGGCGUCUUCAAUGCCAAGGUGGGCAAGGAAGAAACCUUUGCCGUCACUGUCAGAAAAUUCAGCCUCUACGGCGAAACGUCCGAUAACGGACUGAGACAGAUCGACUUCGCUGAGGCCCGAAAAACGGUAGUUUGCAGUACUAGGUUUAAGCAUAAAAAUAUCCAUCUAGCUGUCUUCAAAUCGAAGUACGAGAAACCAAAUCAAUCUUGUUGUGAUAGACGGAGGGCACGCCUUCAGUGUUUUGGACGUACGUACACUUCGAGGCCCAAACAUCGACUCGGACCACUACCUUCUUGCAGCCAAAAUAUGCAACCGCCUCUGUGCAGCAUAAAAUGUGCGCCCAAAAAUGCAUGUAAAGCUUUACGGCGAAAAGCUCUAGUCGCAACAGACGGCCAAUGCAUUCACUACUCGACCCUCACAUCUGCUCUCAGAGAGCGCUCUUCAACAAACCAACAUAGGCGAGCAAUAGAACCACAUUUCCCUUCAUUCAGUACCGCCGCCGAAGAAGUAGUCGGAUUUCAGCGAGCCCGAAAGAACAAGCUGCAGAGAAAAUACGAUGUCGCCUGCAUGACAACGCUGCGAUAGGGCGCAACGCGAGUCAUGUGGAGCCCGUUAUAGGGAGCUGAAGAGGGAAGCGAGACGUAUUUGCCGCAAUAAGAAGAGAGAAGUUGAAAUAGGUGAAUGCAAAGAACUUGAAAUGCUGGCUGAUAGGAAAAACGCCCGAAAAUUUUACCAGAGAGUCGGGCCACUUACGGAAGGUUUCAAGACCAGGGAGAAUUCUUGUAAGAACAAGAUUGGUGACCUAGUAACUGAUGUCCAGAAUUAGUACGUUAGGCAUAUAAGUCACUCAUUAUGCCCGUGUUGGGUAUGGCGUAGAAGCAUGGACAAUGAACACAGCCGAAGCGGCGGCUCUUGGAGUUUUCGAGAGAAAGAUUUUGCGUAAGAUUUUCGAGUACCGCAGAAGAUGGAACGAUAAGCUGUAUGAGCUUUACAACGAGAUGGACAUAGUGCAGCGAAUUAACAUACAGCGGCACCGCUGGCUUGGUCAU
rnacentral:lncRNA from 1 species